AUUCAGCUGAUGAGUCCCAACUGGGACGAAAUAUGUGUCCUGGAU
rfam:Schistosoma haematobium scaffold147_12, whole genome shotgun sequence.